CCUACGGGCGGCAGCAGUGGGGAAUAUUGCACAAUGGGCGAAAGCCUGAUGCAGCAACGCCGCGUGAGCGAUGAAGGCCUUCGGGUCGUAAAGCUCUGUCCUCAAGGAAGAUAAUGACGGUACUUGAGGAGGAAGCCACGGCUAACUACGUGCCAGCAGCCGCGGUAAUACGUAGGGGGCUAGCGAUAUCCGUAUUUACUGGGCGGAAAGGGUGCGUAGGUGUUUUCUUUAGUCAGAGGUGAAAGGCUACGGCUCACCCGUAGUACGCCUUUGAAACGGGGAACCUUGAGUGCAGGAGAGGAGAGUGGAAUUCCUAGUGUAGCGGUGAAAUGCGUAGAUAUUAGGAGGAACACCAGUUGCGAAGGCGGCUCUCUGGACUGUAACUGACACUGAGGCACGAAAGCGUGGGGAGCAAACAGGAUUAGAUACCCCGGUAGUC
rnacentral:rRNA from 1 species